rnacentral:rRNA from 1 species
ACGCUCGACACCUACGAGAGGCAGCAGUGGGGAAUAUUGCACAAUGGGGGAAACCCUGAUGCAGCAACGCCGCGUGAAGGAAGAAGGUUUUCGGAUCGUAAACUUCUAUCAAUAGGGAAGAAAGAAAUGACGGUACCUAAAUAAGAAGCCCCGGCUAACUACGUGCCAGCACGCCGGACGGUAAUCUGGAGGCCGGGUCGUGGACGAAGGC